rnacentral:rRNA from 1 species
UACGUAGGGUGCGAGCGUUGUCCGGAAUUACUGGGCGUAAAGAGCUCGUAGGUGGUUUGUCGCGUUGUUCGUGAAAACUCACAGCUUAACUGUGGGCGUGCGGGCGAUACGGGCAGACUGGAGUACUGCAGGGGAGACUGGAAUUCCUGGUGUAGCGGUGGAAUGCGCAGAUAUCAGGAGGAACACCGGUGGCGAAGGCGGGUCUCUGGGCAGUAACUGACGCUGGGGAGCGAAAGCGUGGGGAGCGAACAGG